GCCGAGCAUGCUAGCGGACACUUCAGAAUCACGACAGUGUUGCCAGCCAACAUAGGAUUUAAAUUGUUAGCUGUAAAAAUGUUAGAAAAAAAAAAUUUGGGUAUAUUUUUAUCUCUUUCGUCCCUGGAUAUGGAGACAUACAAAAUUUAUAACAUAGACAAAAACAAGAUUCUAAAGAAUAUGAGAUUAAACCAUGGAUUAAACUUUUUUUUUCUAAUAAAUUAUGAAAAUUACAAAAAUUUAUUAUUUGAAAAUAAAUAUCACGUAAAUUUUAAAAUGAAUAUAAAAAAAAAAAAUAGGCGUAGGAAACAAGAAAAUAAUUUCAAUAAAGAUAGGUUACAAACUGACACUGAGAGACAUAAGAAGUGCAGAAAAUAAAGAGGAAAUGAAUGAAUUGUAUACAAGAAAACAUAUGCU